GAUGGAUGGGAAUAAUAGCCAACAGCAGCCCAAACCUUUCAACCUCAUAGCUUGUGAUUCGGAGUCUUAUAUGUUUGUGAAGUGAUGCUUGAAGCUGGUGGAGGCUGGUGGGGGAAAACCUGAAGAUGACAGAAGCAAAGCGAUGGAAAGAACCUGGAUCCCAGAAGUUGUUGAGACACUUAAUCAGCCUACUCUGGAGCCACACUACCUCCAGACUUCCUAUUAUGAAUUCCUGCCAGCUAAUAUGUAUAGGUAGUAAUCAUGAUUACAGAUGGUGUGGAAAUGAAGACAAUAUGGGGUACAGAAGUUGACAUACUAUCAACAGAGCUCCAAAAGAUGAGUCGGCAGCUUGUCUAACUGAUUAUCCUUUCUUUUAUAUACUUCAUCUCUCUCUCAUUCAUUUCCUUCCCAUGAACUUUUUUUUAGAAUAGUUGACACACAAUGUUACAGUAGUUUCAGGUGUACAACAUAGUGAUUUGACAAGUUUAUACAUUAUGCUACUUAAACCACCCGUCUGUCUACCAUCUGUCCCAUUACAUCACUGUUGCAAUAUCAUUGACUAGAUUCCUGAUGUUGUGUUUUUUAUUCCUGUAACUUAUUCAUUCCAUAACUGGAAGCCUGCAUCUCCCUCUCUCCUUCACCCGCUUUGCCCAAUCCCCCACUCCCCUCAACUCUGGCAACCAUCAGUUUGUUCCCUGUAUUUAUAGGUCUGAUGCUGCCUUUCAUUUGUUUCUUCAUUUGUUUUUCUUCUAGAUUCCACAUAUGAAUACAAUCAUGGGGUAUUGUCCUUCUCAGUCUGACUUAUUUCACUUAGCAUCACACCCUCUGGGUCUAUCCAUGUUGUCACAAAUGGCACACUGAUAUACUUGAUAAGGGGUUA